AAGAUUUUAAGUUAAUAAAACUAUUAGCCUUCAAAGCUAAAAUUGAAAAUUUAGUCAAAUCUUA
rnacentral:tRNA from 1 species